rnacentral:misc_RNA from 1 species
AGCAGCCGCGGUAAUUCCAGCUCCAAUAGCGUAUAUUAAAGUUGUUGCAGUUAAAAAGCUCGUAGUUGAAUUUCGGGAUCAAUAUGUUGGUCGUGCCUCGGUACGUACUAGCAUAUUGGUUUCUCCUUUCUGAAGAACCAUGAUGUCAUUUAUUUGGUGUCGUGGGGAAUCAGGACUGUUACUUUGAAAAAUUAGAGUGUUUAAAGCAGGCUCACGCUUGAAUACAUUAGCAUGGAAUAAUGAAAUAGGACGUUUGAUUCUAUUUUGUUGGUUUCUAGGAUCGACGUAAUGAUUAAUAGGGAUAGUUGGGGGCAUUAGUAUUCAAUUGUCAGAGGUGAAAUUCUUGGAUUUAUUGAAGACUAACUACUGCGAAAGCAUUUGCCAAGGAUGUUUUCAUUAAUCAAGAACGAAAGUUAGGGGAUCGAAGACGAUCAGAUACCGUCGUAGUCUUAACCAUAAACUAUGCCGACUAGGGAUCGGAUGAUGUUAAUUUUUAAUGUA